rnacentral:rRNA from 1 species
CCUACGGGAGGCAGCAGUAGGGAAUAUUGGGCAAUGGGCGAAAGCCUGACCCAGCGACGCCGCGUGAGGGAUGAAGGUCUUCGGAUUGUAAACCUCUUUCAGUAGGGAAGAAGCGAAAGUGACGGUACCUAAAGAAGAAGCACCGGCUAACUAUGUGCCAGCAGCCGCGGUAAUACAUAGGGUGCAAGCGUUGUCCGGAAUUAUUGGGCGUAAAGAGCACGUAGGUCGUUUGUCGCGUCGAUUGUGAAAAUCUGAGGCUCAACCUCAGACCUGCAGUCGAUACGGGCAAACUAGAGUGUGGUAGGGGAGACUGGAAUUCCUGGUGUAGCGGUGGAAUGCGCAGAUAUCAGGAGGAACACCAAUGGCGAAGGCAGGUCUCUGGGCCAUAACUGACACUGAGGAGCGAAAGUGCGGGGAGCGAACAGGAUUAGAUACCCUGGUAGUCCGCACCGUAAACGGUGGGCACUAGUUGUGGGAACCUUCCACGGUUUCCGCGACGCAGCAAACGCAUUAAGUGCCCCGCCUGGGGAGUACGAUCGCAAGAUUAAAACUCAAAUGAAUUGACGG